rnacentral:rRNA from 1 species
GACGGAGGGGGCAAGCGUUGUUCGGAAUUAUUGGGCGUAAAGGGCGCGUAGGCGGAAUGGCAAGUCUGGCGUGAAAUCUCCACCGCUCACCGGGGAGGGGCCGUUGGAAACUACCAUUCUGGAGUUCGGCAGAGGACCAUGGAAUUUCUGGUGUAGCGGUGGAAUGCGUAGAUAUCAGAAAGAACACCUGUGGCGAAGGCGGUGGUCUGGGCCGAAACUGACGCUGAGGCGCGAAAGCCAGGGGAGCAAACGGG